ensembl:lncRNA
AUGGUCAUGACCUGUCGUCACGCCCCUUCCCCAGCCCACCUCGUCCUAUUGGUCCUGCUUUGUGUCACUCCACAGCUGGCUGGCGCCGCCCCUGUGCGGGCUGAGGGAGGCGAGGGAGGGGCGGCCGAGGGGCGCGCACGGACAGACCUCAGGGACGACAGCCUUGGCGGCGUGCUCUCGCUCCCACGCCUCCGCCUCUCGGAGGAGGGGGCGCCGGGGCGGGGGGAGCUCAGAGAUAACCCCCUGGACCCCGCGCUGCUGCUCAGCGCUCUGCUGGAGGUCCUGGACCGCCCUGGCGCCCGGGGGCUGCGGGAGAACGGGACGGGGGGAGACGGGGACGAUGGGGGGGCCCCGGUCGCAGAGCGAGGGGCUGAUAGGGAGGAGGAGGAGGAGGAGGAGGAGGAGAAGGAGGAGGAAGAGGAGCAGAGGGGAAGAGCGAGGCUCGGGGAGCGGAGGUAUGUGACGGCGUCCCAGGAGGAUGUGGUGCAGGGGGCGGGGGGAGAGGAGGAGGAGGGGGAGCCCGGGGGGGACGCUGGGUGGCUGCUGGGGGACGUGGGGCUGGCCCUCGUAGGGAGUAGAGACGGGGGGCCGAACCCAGAGGAGCAGGGGGAGGGUGAUCCGUCGCUGGGGGAGGCAGACGACGCCAAGCUGCGUCGCAGAACCAGGGGCUACUUUCAAAACAUUGACUUGGGUCUCCAAGACAACGAGAUCCUGCCCCCGCUGAAGGGCUACAAGGCCUACAACACCCAGCUGGCCCGCGCCGGCAAGAAGCAGCACUGGCCCGAGGAGCAGGCCCGCAACCGGCCCGCCCAGGGGGGCAACUUCAUGGACGACUUCGACGCCGAGGGCGAGGAGCUGGAGGAGGAGGUGGAGAGGGAGGAGGAGAGCCUCUCCCGCCUUGAGGAGGAGGCCAGGGCCCGCGCCGAGAAGCAGGAGGUACUGAGGCAGCAGCAGGAGGCGGAGCGCGCCCGCGAGGAGGAGCAGCGGCUGGCCGACAUCGCCUCGGACAUGCUGCUGCAGUACAUGGGCCGCAAGACGCCGCCCUACAUGAAGCCGCGGCAGAAGAGCAGCGCCGCCGCCGCCGCCAGCAACACGGCCGAGGACAAGCGGUCCGAGGAGGUGGCCACCGACGACGAUGACGACGACGACAUGGACCAGCAGAUGAUCGACCGGCUGAUCGAGAUCAGCAGCAAGCUGCACCUGCCCGCCGACGACGUGGUGGAGAUCAUCAGCGACGUGGAGGAGAAGAAGAAGAAGAGGAAAGAGCUGCAGCAGCGGCCCGCCGACCUCCGCCCCGUCACCCAGCGGUUCAGGCCCCUGGUGCCCCCGCCUCUGGCCGCCCCGCCCAUGUACCACUACACGGCCUCCAGCAACCCCAAGAAGGCCGGCUACAAGUACAGGUCCGGCAAGAAGUGGCAGAAGGACAAGGUCAAGGCGUACAAGCAGGACUUUUGGUACAAGCCUCAGAAGCAGCGUGACUUCUGGUACAAACCGCAGAAACAGUUUUUGGCCUUCCCCUCCUAUCCCUACUACCAGAAGCCAUAUCGCGCCUACUACCCUGUGUAUUUCCCUUACCCUAAGCAACACUAUUACGGCAAAGCGUCCCCUUCCAUGGACCAGCAGUUAGGACCCCAGGAACUCGAACUCCCGACCCCCAGGCGCCGGUUCCGGUCGGGGGGGAAAGGUCGCGGGCAGGGCUGGAGGCAGCAGCAGUCCCCGCCCCAGAGCCCCAUCACCCCUUAUAUCUCCAAUUACAUCCUCCCCCACCCACGGACAUACCAGCCCUUACCUCCCCCCAAACCAAUGACUCCCGCCAGGAGAGGAAGGCGCCCCCACUACUUCUACCCCCAGGUGACCCCCCACGCAGACGACUAUGAGGAGGACGGACUGGUUCCUCAGCUGGACAGCGAGGAGGAGCUGGAGAACUUUAUCGAGAGGAUCUACAUGAAGCGCCGAAUGUACUGA